GCUUCCUUGGCUCAGUUGGUAGAGCGUUGGUCUCAUAGAUUAUGAGUAAUAUAAUAUAUUGCACAAUCCAAAGGUCGUGAGUUCGAGCCUCACAGGGAGCA